GACGAACGCUGGCGGCGUGCCUAAUACAUGCAAGUAGAACGCUGAAAGAGGAGCUUGCUUCUCCGGAUGAGUUGCGAACGGGUGAGUAACGCGUAGGUAACCUGCCUGGUAGCGGGGGAUAACUAUUGGAAACGAUAGCUAAUACCGCAUAAUAGUAGAUGUUGCAUGACAUUUGCUUAAAAGGUGCAAUUGCAUCACUACCAGAUGGACCUGCGUUGUAUUAGCUAGUUGGUGGGGUAACGGCUCACCAAGGCGACGAUACAUAGCCGACCUGAGAGGGUGAUCGGCCACACUGGGACUGAGACACGGCCCAGACUCCUACGGGAGGCAGCAGUAGGGAAUCUUCGGCAAUGGACGGAAGUCUGACCGAGCAACGCCGCGUGAGUGAAGAAGGUUUUCGGAUCGUAAAGCUCUGUUGUAAGAGAAGAACGAGUGUGAGAGUGGAAAGUUCACACUGUGACGGUAUCUUACCAGAAAGGGACGGCUAACUACGUGCCAGCAGCCGCGGUAAUACGUAGGUCCCGAGCGUUGUCCGGAUUUAUUGGGCGUAAAGCGAGCGCAGGCGGUUAGAUAAGUCUGAAGUUAAAGGCUGUGGCUUAACCAUAGUACGCUUUGGAAACUGUUUAACUUGAGUGCAAGAGGGGAGAGUGGAAUUCCAUGUGUAGCGGUGAAAUGCGUAGAUAUAUGGAGGAACACCGGUGGCGAAAGCGGCUCUCUGGCUUGUAACUGACGCUGAGGCUCGAAAGCGUGGGGAGCAAACAGG
rnacentral:rRNA from 1 species